GGUUCUAGCUCAGUGGUAGAGUGCUUGCCCAGCAUGUGUGAGGCCCUGGGUUCGACCCUCAGCACCA
rnacentral:tRNA from 1 species